AUGAACGCUGGCGGCGUGCUUAAUACAUGCAAGUCGAACGGAGACAGUAGCAAUAUUGUUUUAGUGGCGAACGGGUGAGUAACGCGUUGGUGACCUGCCCCGAAGAGAGGGAUAACAGUCCGAAAGGAUUGCUAAUACCUCAUGUGGUCAUUUGGAUUAGAUGCCUUAUGACUAAACGGAUUUAUUCGCUUUGGGAGGGACCUGCGUCCCAUCAGCUAGUUGGUAGGGUAACGGCCUACCAAGGCUAUGACGGGUAGGGGACCUGAGAGGGUGGCCCCCCACAAUGGAACUGAAACACGGUCCAUACACCUACGGGUGGCAGCAGUAGGGAAUAUUGGUUAAUCUGCGAAAGCGGGAACCAGCAACGCCGCGUGCGCGAUGACGGCCUUCGGGUUGUAAAGCGCUUUUUAUGGGGAUGAGGAAGGACAGUACUCAUAGAAUAAGCCUCGGCUAACUACGU
rnacentral:rRNA from 1 species